rnacentral:rRNA from 1 species
GAUGAACGCUAGUGGCAGGCUUAACACAUGCAAGUCGAGGGGUAUAGUAGCAAUACUAGAGACCGGCGCACGGGUGCAUGACGCGUAUGCAAUCUACCUUUCACAGAGGGAUAGCCCAGAGAAAUUUGGAUUAAUACCUCAUAGUAUAGUAUCUUGGCAUCAAGGAACUAUUAAAGUCACAACGGUGAAAGAUGAGCAUGCGUCCCAUUAGUUAGUUGGUAAGGUAACGGCUUACCAAGACUACGAUGGGUAGGGGUCCUGAGAGGGAGAUCCCCCACACUGGUACUGAGACACGGACCAGACUCCUACGGGAGGCAGCAGUGAGGAAUAUUGGACAAUGGGCGCAAGCCUGAUCCAGCCAUGCCGCGUGCAGGAUGACGGUCCUAUGGAUUGUAAACUGCUUUUGUACAGGAAGAAACACCCCGACGUGUCGGGACUUGACGGUACUGUAAGAAUAAGGAUCGGCUAACUCCGUGCCAGCCGCCGCCGUAA